GCCGCGACGCCGACCCUGCCUUCCGCGGCGAACUCCCUCGCGCCGCCCGACGCGACGUCGCACGCCAGGUAAGCGAACUCCUCCGGGGACGCCGGCGCCGCCUCCUUGGUCAGCAACAGCGCCGGCUCGCCUCCGGCGCCGACGUCUACGUCGAGCGCCCGCGCGUCGCCCCCGACGACGACGCCGACGACCAGGUCCCCGGGCAUGGGGUCGUAG
rnacentral:rRNA from 1 species